rnacentral:hammerhead_ribozyme from 1 species
CUCCAGCCGACUAGUCCCAAACUGGACGAAAUGCACGUCAUGGAU